GACGAACGCUGGCGGCGUGCCUAAUACAUGCAAGUAGAACGCACAGUUUAUACCGUAGCUUGCUACACCAUAGACUGUGAGUUGCGAACGGGUGAGUAACGCGUAGGUAACCUGCCUGGUAGCGGGGGAUAACUAUUGGAAACGAUAGCUAAUACCGCAUAAUAUUAAUUAUUGCAUGAUAAUUGAUUGAAAGAUGCAACUGCAUCACUACCAGAUGGACCUGCGUUGUAUUAGCUAGUAGGUGAGGUAACGGCUCACCUAGGCGACGAUACAUAGCCGACCUGGGAGGGUGAUCGGCCACACUGGGACUGAGACACGGCCCAGACUCCUACGGGAGGCAGCAGUAGGGAAUCUUCGGCAAUGGGCGAAAGUCUGACCGAGCAACGCCGCGUGAGUGAAGAAGGUUUUCGGAUCGUAAAGCUCUGUUGUAAGAGAAGAACGGGUGUGAGAGUGGAAAGUUCACACUGUGACGGUAUCUUACCAGAAAGGGACGGCUAACUACGUG
rnacentral:rRNA from 1 species